rnacentral:rRNA from 1 species
UACGGGGGGGGCAAGCGUUGUUCGGAAUUACUGGGCGUAAAGGGCUCGUAGGUGGCCAACUAAGUCAGACGUGAAAUCCCUCGGCUUAACCGGGGAACUGCGUCUGAUACUGGAUGGCUUGAGUUCGGGAGAGGGAUGCGGAAUUCCAGGUGUAGCGGUGAAAUGCGUAGAUACUGGGAGGAACACCGGUGGCGAAGGCGGCUACCUGGACCGGUUCUGACGCUGAUGCGCGAAAGCGUGGGUAGCAAACAGG